UACGUAGGGUGCGAGCGUUAAUCGGAAUUACUGGGCGUAAAGCGUGCGCAGGCGGUUUUGUAAGCCAGAUGUGAAAGCCCCGGGCUUAACCUGGGAAUGGCAUUGGUGACUGCACGGCUAGAGUGUGUCAGAGGGGGGUAGAAUUCCACGUGUAGCAGUGAAAUGCGUAGAGAUGUGGAGGAAUACCGAUGGCGAAGGCAGCCCCCUGGGAUAACACUGACGCUCAUGCACGAAAGCGUGGGGAGCAAACAGG
rnacentral:rRNA from 1 species